UACGAAGGGGGCUAGCGUUGCUCGGAAUGACUGGGCGUAAAGGCGCGUAGGCGGUUUGGACAGUCAGAUGUGAAAUUCCUGGGCUCAACCUGGGGGCUGCAUUUGAUACGUUCGGACUAGAGUGGGGAAGAGGGUCGUGGAAUUCCCAGUGUAGAGGUGAAAUUCGUAGAUAUUGGGAAGAACACCGGUGGCGAAGGCGGCGACCUGGUCCUUGACUGACGCUGAGGCGCGAAGCGUGGGAGCAAACAGG
rnacentral:rRNA from 1 species